rnacentral:rRNA from 1 species
UAAAAGAUGUCUAGAUUUAAAAAAAAUUAGGACGUUUAAAUAACGAUAUAUGUAAGUAAUCCAUAGAAUUUUAAUUUACAUGUUUCCUAUAUUAUAGUGAAAACUAAAAAAAAAAAUUACUUUGUGAACUGAAACAUCUAAGUAACAAAAGGUAAAAAAUUAAACAAGAUUUUAAAAGUAGUGGUGAACGAAAUUAAAAAAAAAUAUAUAUAUAUUUUUAUUCUGGAAUUUAUUGAAAUAUAAAACAAAAAAAGGUUAUAGUCCUGUACACAAAUAAAAAUAAAUAAAAAUAAAUAAAAAAACAUGAUAAGUUUUUUUAUUUAAAUAAAGAACCAUCUUUAAUAUUUAAAUAUUUUUUUAAAAUCGAUAGUGAACUAGUACCGUGAGGGAAAGAUGAAAAGAACCUUAAAAAAAAAUAAAGAGGAGUUAAAAGAAUCCUAAAUUUGUAUACUUUAUAGCAUUUGUUUUAAGAUAUUCUUAAACAAUAUACCUUUUGUAUAAUGGGUCAACAAGUUAAUUUUUAAAGUAAACAAAAAUUUAAAAUUAAUUGUAUAGCGAAAGCGAGUUUUUUUUUAAAGCGUUUAAAUUUUAAAAAUUAAACCCGAAACUAAAUGAUCUAAUUACGUUCAAAUUGAAAAAAAUUUUAAUUAAUUUUUGGAGGAUUGAACCCAUGUAUGUUGCAAUAUACUGGGAUGAAAUGUGAUUAGGGGUGAAAG